rnacentral:rRNA from 1 species
AUGUACAUUCCUACAUCAUAGCAUUAAUGCAUCAGAUCCCAUUAGAACUCCACAGUUAAGCGCCAUAGGCUAGAGUAGUACUGGGAUGGGUGACCUCCCGGGAAUUCCUAGUGUUUUACAUG